AUUGAACGCUGGCGGCAGGCCUAACACAUGCAAGUCGAACGGUAGCACAGAGAGCUUGCUCUCGGGUGACGAGUGGCGGACGGGUGAGUAAUGUCUGGGAAACUGCCUGAUGGAGGGGGAUAACUACUGGAAACGGUAGCUAAUACCGCAUAACGUCGCAAGACCAAAGAGGGGGACCUUCGAGCCUCUUGCCAUCAGAUGUGCCCAGAUGGGAUUAGCUAGUAGGUGGGGUAACGGCUCACCUAGGCGACAAUCCCUAGCUGGUCUGAGAGGAUGACCAGCCACACUGGAACUGAGACACGGUCCAGACUCCUACGGGAGGCAGCAGUGGGGAAUAUUGCACAAUGGGCGCAAGCCUGAUGCAGCCAUGCCGCGUGUAUGAAGAAGGCCUUCGGGUUGUAAAGUACUUUCAGCGGGGAGGGAGGUGUUGUGGUUAAUAACCGCAGCAAUUGACGUUACCCGCAGAAGAAGCACCGGCUAACUCCGUGCCAGCCGCCGCCGUAAGAC
rnacentral:rRNA from 1 species